rnacentral:rRNA from 1 species
GUAGGGAAUCUUCGGCAAUGGACGAAAGUCUGACCGAGCAACGCCGCGUGAGUGAAGAAGGUUUUCGGAUCGUAAAACUCUGUUGGUAGAGAAGAACGUUGGUGAGAGUGGAAAGCUCAUCAAGUGACGGUAACUACCCAGAAAGGGACGGCUAACUACGUGCCAGCAGCCGCGGUAAUACGUAGGUCCCGAGCGUUGUCCGGAUUUAUUGGGCGUAAAGCGAGCGCAGGUGGUUUAUUAAGUCUGGUGUAAAAGGCAGUGGCUCAACCAUUGUGUGCAUUGGAAACUGGUAGACUUGAGUGCAGGAGAGGAGAGUGGAAUUCCAUGUGUAGCGGUGAAAUGCGUAGAUAUAUGGAGGAACACCGGUGGCGAAAGCGGCUCUCUGGCCUGUAACUGACACUGAGGCUCGAAAGCGUGGGGAGCAAACAGGAUUAGAAACCCGUGUAGUCC